rnacentral:rRNA from 1 species
CCAAUAGCGUAUAUUAAAGUUGUUGCCGUUAAAAAGCUCGUAGUUGAAUUUCGGGAUCGACGGGUCGGUCGCGCCUCUGGUGUGUACUGGCCCUGUCGGUUUCUCCCUUCUGACGAACCACGAUGUCAUUAAUUUGGUGUCGUGGGAAAUCAGGACUGUUACUUUGAAAAAAUUAGAGUGUUUAAAGCAAGCAUUCGCUUGAAUACAUUAGCAUGGAAUAAUGAAAUAGGACGUUUGAUCUUAUUUUGUUGGUUUCUAAGAUCGACGUAAUGAUUAAUAGGGAUAGUUGGGGGCAUUAGUAUUCAAUUGUCAGAGGUGAAAUUCUUGGAUUUAUUGAAGACUAACUACUGCGAAAGCAUUUGCCAAGGAUGUUUUCAUUAAUCAAGAACGAAAGUUAGGGGAUCGAAGACGAUCAGAUACCGUCGUAGUCUUAACCAUAAACUAUGCCGACUAGGGAUCGGAUGAUGUUAAUUUUUUAAUGACUCAUUCGGCGCCUUACG